UACGUAGGGGGCGAGCGUUGUCCGGAUUUAUUGGGCGUAAAAGGCUUGUAGGUGGCCACGUCAAGUCGGAUGUGAAAUCUCCCGGCUCAACUGGGAGGGGUCAUUCGAUACUGGCGGGCUCGAGGCCGGUAGGGGGAAGCGGAAUUCCCGGUGUAGUGGUGGAAUGCGUAGAUAUCGGGAGGAACACCAGUGGCGAAGGCGGCUUCCUGGACCGGUUCUGACACUGAGGAGCGAAAGCGUGGGGAGCGAACAGGG
rnacentral:rRNA from 1 species